rnacentral:tRNA from 1 species
UAGCUCAGUUGCUAGAGCGCUCCACUGGAAAUGGAAAGUUCCCUGGUUCGAUACCAGG